AAUGAUUAAGAAGAUAUUUUCUUAUAAAUAGAUUUACAAUCUAUCGCCUAUAUU
rnacentral:tRNA from 1 species